CACCAGUUGCUGGGUGUCUUCUCUGGUGAUGCUCUGCCAGGCCUGUUUUGCAGCCAUCUUUAGCUUUUGCUUGUUUUGGGGGCUAGUCCCCUUCAGUUUUCUCUUCAGUAUAUAAAAGGCAUGCUCAAUUGGGUUCAGAUCAGGUGAUUGACUUGACCACUCAAGGAUUGACCAUUAAUUAGCUUUGGAAAAACUCCUUUGUUUGUUUGGUAUCAUUGUCUUGCUAUAGAAUGAAUCGGCGGCCAAUGAGUUUUGAGGCAUGUUUGAACUUGAGCAGAUAGGAUGUGUCUAUACACUUUAAAAUUCAUAAUGCUACUACCAUCAGCAGUUGCAUCAUCAAUGAAGAUAAGUGAUCCAGUACUUUCAGCAGCCAUACAUCCUAAGGCCAUAACACCCCCACCACCAUGUUUCACAGAAGAGGUGGUAUGCUUUGGAUCUUCCUCACCAGUGCUCUCUUCUUAAUCAUGUUUCAAACAGUUGAUUUUGGUAAGCCUAAUGUUUGUUUUAUUCUUGUUUCUCAGUCUCAUAAUGGUUUCUUUGACUUUCAUUGGCAUAACUUUGGUCUUCGUGUUGAUAAACAGCAAUAAAAAUUUCUAAAUGUGAUGGAAAGACUAGAUGCUGAGAGCUCUCUUAUACCUGCAUGAAGGAGGCAUUUAAACAAAGCUGAGCAAUUACAAACACACACGUCCCAAACAUUACGGUGCCCGGAAAUGGGAGGACUAUGUAUAAACACAGCUGUAAUUUCUACAUGGAGAAACCAAAAUAUAUUAAAAUGGCCUUUAAUAAAAUCUGACUGACUGUAACCACAUUUGAUUUUUUUUCUUUUUUUUUCUAUUACAAAUCUCAAAUUGUGGAGCACAGAGGCAAAUAAAUAAAUGAUGGGUCUUUGUCCCAAACAUUAUGGAGGGCACUGUGUAGUGUGAUUUGACUGGCUAGCAUGCAAAGCUUUUCACUGUAUUUCAAUAUUUGUCUACCAAUACCAAGAGGCAGCAAUAGAAGUUGGUGCUUUUAACAGCUGUGCCACCAGAGGGCACAUUUGAGGUUAGUGACUGCUUUUGAGAAUGUUUUGCAAACGUUUUCAUCAUUUUCACUGAACGUUGAGAACCUUUCGUGCAAUCACAAAACUUGCUGAAUGUGGGUGUUGUCACAAUCGGUAGCUGUUGUCUGCCAUAAACCAUCUGACUUGGAAACUGGAGUUUGCCACUUGAGUCUAGUUUAUCGUCACGCGUACCAAGCUGAGUUGCCGAGCAGGUUCUGAUGGCGACGCCACUCUGCGACACAUCCCAGACGUUCUGAUGUCUUCGACACAGGAGCCGCUCUCUGAUCAGAGCUCGGCAUCUGAGAGCCUCCAGCUGCGGAAGCAAUUUGGUUCGGGAGCGGUCACUUGAAGCAAAGGUGUCCAACAGCCCGCCCCAACCGGUGAUGUAUGGAGCCCAUUUGUUUCCCUGUCCACCAUGGGCACUGACAUCCCCACUAUCGAAGGGACCUGCAGGGGUCGCUGCCUGAAAAAGGCAGCCAGCAUCGUCAGAGUCCCACACCACCCUGGCCAUGCUCUCAUUUCACCCUGCUAUCCGGAAGAAGGUAUAGGAGCCUGAAAACUGUAACGUCCAGGUUCAGGAACAGCUUCUUCCCUACACCCAUAAGGCUUUUAAACACUACAACCUCCAAAUAAACUCCGAAUACAUAG